AACAAUGUUCGGAGGAACGGAAGAACGUCAAUCGAACGGAAUAUUAGGUCAUGAUAGCCACGAAGAAACUAAAAAAUUUCGAUGAAGAUUCCAUCAUUUUUCCGACAAAUAUUCGUAAAAUGACGAAAAACGACGAAUACGAAAUCUGUUAGGUUUGAUUUAUUAAUUUCUUGAACGUGAUUACUAUCGAUUGUACGCAGGGUACUUGUAAGGAAGGAUAGAGAGUUAUGAACCUUUUAAAUACUUAAAAUGGAAAAAUUAAUUUUCCAAAUACUUACGAGAUUCACAUACAAUUUAUUACACAGGAACUUCAGACUUGAUGCUUCAACCGAAUAAAAAUUUGAAAAAUUUGAUAACGCGCA